UUUGAGAGUCGGGUUAAAGCUGCAGUAGGGGAUUUUAGCUGGUUAUAAAAUGGCAGUGGUGGGGGCGUGGUAUCAAUUCUUAAUCCAUAUUUUUUAGUUUUGUGACUUUUUUGUGUAACUUGAAUUUUUGUGUGUAUCAUUUUGUGAAUUUUUUUGGCACUGAGUGAUUAUAUUUGCAUUUUAGAUCAUUAGUAUUAAAAAUCAGUUAUCUUUCACAAUAAUUUAUUUCUGUUAUUUUCAUAAUGUUUUGACUUUAAACUUUUUUUGUAACAUUGUAUUUUCGGAAACUUUCUGUGUUUUUUAAAAAGGGGGAGGGUAUUUUUUGUAUUUUUGCAUUUGGUGAAUCAUUUUGUAUUUCACAGAAGAUUCUUUAGUUUUGUGAGUUUUUUUGGUUAACAUAAGAGGUUUUUUGUGUUUCAUUUAUGAUUCACUUAUUCAUUUUUGUAUGUUUUGAAAUAUUAUUCUGCUUUGAUAAUCUUUUUGGUUUUGAUUUUUUUAAUCUCUUGCAUUUCAUUAAAUUGUUUGUUGUUGUUGUUUUAUGGGUUUUAUGUGUUAGAUAUCCUGUGUUUUGCAAAAUAUUUUGGUGUCUCAUAAAAUGUCACUAAAUUUGACUAAAUGUCAAACUGUUUUUUUGAAAACAUAAAUAAAUUAAAUGUCUUUUUGCCCUUUGAGGCCAUUGUGGUUGAUUGUACUGUGACAAAAAUUUUUCGGGUUAUGAUGAAUAAAUUAAUGCUGUUGUUUUCAUAUGAUCUAAAGAUGCAAACCAGGGAAUCAUUCCGUCAGUGACCUUUUUUCCAUGGUAAAGAUUUGACAAUAAUGAGCUAAAAAUAUAUCACAGAUAAUGGAAUUGAAUAAAAUCGAAGAAUAGAAUAGAAUAUUCCUUUAUUGAUCCCCCAUGGGGGAAUUUUUUUUUGUCACAGCAGCAUCACAGACAAAGAGUGCAAAAAUGCAGUUAAAAAAAUAAAGAUCGUUAUAUUAAGAACUUAAAUAAAUGUAAUAAUUAAGAAAAAAAUUAGGAAAAGGAAAAAGGGAGAUGAAAAAUAAAACUAUAUACAAUAUACACAAUUUAUUUAAUCUACAUCAAUGCAGUUUUUGACUCAAUAUAGUGGACCUUAUCUCUAGGAGCUGUCUAUCAGUGUCUCAUAUUGGGGGGGGGGGCAUCUAUGGUUGAGCUGUGAAAGCCUAGUGUUAGCAGGGAUAUUUCUUUAAACCUCCCCCCACCCCCAUGAGAGUUGAGCUGAGAACCUCCACUUAGAUGUAACUGUAUGUUUUGAUUUCCUCUAGUUUGAACUUUGUUUUUUUUCACUCAGAGAAAUUCAAAGGUUGGGAGGAGCUUCUGUGAGCAGGCACUGGUGUGGCUUUAACUUGUGUCUCAGUCAGUUUUCAUUCAUUUACAGUGUAAAGCCAUCACAUGAAUGCAACAGCAGCCAUCAUGUCUCAUCGCUACAUCCCUAGGAUCCAGUACUAUUCAGCCUAAGCUCUCUGGUAAGCCCUCUGGAGGCACCCUCCACUUAACAGCAUACUGCAUGGUCAAGUUUGUUUACAAUUAGGCUCCGUAGACGGCUCGUCUGGGGUGCAAAUGCAGGACUGCUCAAUAAGUGUAUCUGCUGCCUCCAUGCCAUCCAGCAGAAUCAACAGUUACUCUGAUAUGCAUGUCAUGUCCACCAUGUAAGCACUGUCCUGCUAAUCAACGGACAGAUGGCUCCACCAAACCCUCCUCCUCCUCGUCUCAGAUUGGUAUUCAAAAUGUUGUCUGAUUGCAAAGCAGGCUGCUGUAACUCUGUCCACCACUGGGUUUCGGUGUUAUUUCUCAGAGCGGCUGCCUGCAGAUGAGAGUCCCUUUGCUCCUGAUUAAACCCUUGAAGCAAGGUCUUCAUCCUGGCAGGAACCCAUGUGUGUACACAGAAGGAGAGAAAGAGGGAGUCUGUGCGAGGCAGAGGAGAGAAGAGGGAGGGGAGGCACCCAGGAGCUCCAUCUGCACGUGUAUGCUGCCCCACGUUACCCACCAGGGUAGAGGGGAGGAGAAGGGGGAGGAGGGACGUGACUGUGAGGGUGUUUGUGUAUGUGGGGGGGACACUGUGGUCAGUCAGUUUAGUUAAAGAGAUGAUUGAAGAAGGCAUAUAAAACGGAAAGAUAAACAGAGAUAAGUGGAGUCCUCCUGGCAGACGGCACUGAGGGAUUAGUAAACUGAAAAGUGUGAGAUCAGUAAAAACAGGAGAUCCAAAGCAGCAUUGAACCCACACUAGAACAUGGAGAACAUGCUGUGUGGUCAUCAAAUCAAACUCACACUGCCAGGAAAAACAAAUGCACUCAAAGUUACUGUCAGCCUGACCUUGAGCGCCCCUCAUACUCACACACACACACACACACACACACACACACACACACACACACACACACACACACACACACACACACACACACACACACACACACACACUGGAGUCAUUAAGACCUGGUUGUGUAUUGUGCUGGGACUGCAGUGAAGGCUAUUACACUCCCUGCUUCUGUCUCUCAAUAAUGCAUGAUUAAUUAGCCGGCUCUGAAAUAGAGUGAAACUGAGCGCAGGGUGGAAACUGAAGAGGGACGCAGUAGGUAGCCAGUGUCUCAUGCCGAGGCCUGCAAACACACACAUGCACCAACACACUCACUCACUCACACACACACACACGCACAAACGCACGCACGCACGCACGCACGCACGAGUGCAGAGUGUACCUAAAUAUGCAGACAGUGUGCUUCUCUGGAUCCUUGGGUUUUUGUCACAAGUCUUUACCUCUUCAGGAAAAAAAGGUUUCUCACACUAACACACCUAAUUUUUUUCUUUCCCCAUUAAAUAAAAAUUUGUGUGUAACUUCUUAAAGGGAUAUUUCAGUAGUUUUCAUGCAGUGGUGCAUGAGUUACCUGUUGAAGGGAGGACUAGCAUGCAGCCUCGGCCACUAUUUUCUGCAUAUGGAGAAGACUCUGUAAAGUUAAGUAGCUGAUUGAGAGAUAUUCUGACCAUCUUGGUUUUUUAGUGUAUACUCUGCAGAGGAUUGUACAAUACAAAGAGAAAUCAAUACAGAAGUUUUUAGGAGUGAUUUUAAUGUAGGUAAGUCAGUGCAGUUUUGGAUAUGAGUUGGGAGUGAAUUCCAGAGGGAGGGGACGGCUAACUGUCCCACCAGUUCAGUGCUUGGUCCUGGAUGGUUGGGAGAGGAGGUUGGUGUAUGAUGCCCAAGUCACAUCUCUAUUCUGAGUUUUCAUUUGUUUGUUUUUUUCAUGAUUUUCAUCACCAGAUCAUCCUGCAGAGUUUGAUUUGUGCAGAGUUUGUUAUUCCACCUUCAUAAUGCUGUAAAACACGCAGAGCUGAACUCUGACUCUAAAGACGCUCAAACAUUUAGCUUUUCUGCUUUUCUGAUUAAACUCCUGAAUGUUGAAGAAAGCUGAAAGAGUGAUCUUCCCUGACCAACAUUCAUACGCUUACUCGUGACAUGUAACUCAUAUAACCUUACUUAAAAAAAAAUCUGAAAUAUUCCUUUAACAUACUGGCAAGGUUUUGAUCAUUUAUUUCAAACAGCUGUAUUUUUAUCCAUAAAACCAGUUUUUUGUAACAUUUACCUCCAGAUAACAGCACGACAUGAAACUGUUAGCUUUAUUGGAAACUUCUAACAAGUUCAUUAUUAAAUCUACUCAGUUAAAAUUUAAUAAAGCUGCUUAUUGUCACUCCAUUAUUUAAUUCCACUGUCCUUUUUUAAAACACAUGAAACUGGACCACUUUGCAGAAAUGCACCCUUUGCCUCUGUUGCUCCCAGACUCUUCUCCUAUCCAUCCAAAAACUAUCAAGAGUGCAAAUGACAUCUCCCUCAUUGCUCUGAACUUUCCCCUCAAUCACACUGGUCUGCCCUGGGCAUCAGAGAGUUAACAUGUCAGAGAGAGAGAGGACAUCAUCUAUGAAUAGGGAGUAUUCAGUCCUGCCUCAGUCCCUCUGAGACCAGGCCUGGGCUGGAGUUUCACCCGGUCUGGCCCAGUGAAAUAUAAACCGCUCUCAUCACAGACUCUGAUUCACUAGAAACAUAUUAUUGAUUCCUCUCUGCGACCCUCCAUAUUUUAUUAUUGCUGAGGUGAAAACGGAUAACAGGAAAGCUCAUAUCAGCACACAGCAGAACAAUACUGCAUUGUGGCGCCUCAGUUCCACUCUGCUGAAGAGGACGACUCCUCCUGAAAUCAUUCACCAGUGGAUUAUGAUCCUGAGCUCGGCCUGCCCUCUGCUCAUAAUGAAUACAUGGAUACACAAACACACCAUGAGGCUGUGAAUGAGCAUUAGCUGCUGCUGGAAGUAAAGCUCUGCAUGCACAAGCUGCCCACCGUCCUGCAGAGAAAGUGUGCAUGUUGGCUGUGAAGCAGUGUUUUUGAGUUUGUCAGGCUGAUGUCCACUAAAUGAAUCUGCAGCAUGCUGAGUGUUGGCUCCAACAGCAUGAAAUAAGAUGUAACAUCUCUGUUGUUUGGAUUUCUCUGAGAGGACUGAAGCGCCUUCUCUCAGCUCAUGGGCUGAGUUUGCCCUCUGGGUUUUCAUGUCAGGAACAUUUACUCUCAGAAUCCACAGCCGGAGCUCUGACUUCAAAGCAGAAAGUAGCUUUGAGUGUGUUAUAACAAAUCUUAAUCUAAAUCUUGUGUUGGAGUUGAGGGUGUGGAUGAUGAUGUGACAGUCUGUCUCUCUUCCUCUUUCCUCCCCCCUCCUCCUCUGGAGUUAGAGAGUUUGAUGCGAUGACUCACCGUUGUUGGAGGUGGUUUUUUAAGCAGCUUGAGUGACAUCCGUGCAUCAAUUUUUUGCGCUUUGCAUUAAUGAUAGCAAUCUGUCUUGUUGAGGAGCACAGAUGCAGGUCUGGAUUUGAAGGCAGGCAGCAGAUUGCUGAGUGUGAUUACUACUCUCUGGAGCCACAUUCAUGUAUUUCUAUCAUUAUUCUUACAAAAGACAGAACAGGUUGAUUGAGAGGCAGAGAUUUCUCUGAGGAAAGACGUAAGAGCCAUGAUCUAAGCUUUUAUAACAACCUGCAGAAAUACUCCAGCAGAUGCCUUCAAA
rnacentral:lncRNA from 1 species